rnacentral:rRNA from 1 species
AGUGAACGCUGGCGGUAGGCCUAACACAUGCAAGUCGAACGGCAGCACAGUAAGAGCUUGCUCUUACGGGUGGCGAGUGGCGGACGGGUGAGGAAUACAUCGGAAUCUACUUUUUCGUGGGGGAUAACGUAGGGAAACUUACGCUAAUACCGCAUACGACCUACGGUUGAAAGCAGGGGAUCUUCGGACCUUGCGCGAUUGAAUGAGCCGAUGUCGGAUUAGCUAGUUGGCUGGGUAAAUGCCCACCAAGGCGGAGAUCCGUAGCUGGUCUGAGAGGAUGAUCGGCCACCCUAGAAAGUGAACACGGACCAGGGGCCUAAGGGACGGAGCAGAGGGGAAUAUUAGGCAAUAGGGGGGAGCCUUGCACAACCAUACCGCGUGGGUGAAGAAGGCGUUCGGGUUGUAAAGCCCUUUUGUGGGGAAAGAAAAGCAGCAGGUUAAUACCCCGCUGUUCUGACGGUACCCAAAGAAUAAGCACCGGCUAACUUCGUG